AACAAAACCGGACAUAAUAUACUCGGAUGAGGUUAGGUUUUAUUAGUUUGAGUAGGCUAAAACUACACAUGUUCCUAGAAAAAUAUGUCUCAUAUAUUAUGGUAAAAUAAUUAUAAAUAGAAAUUAUAUAAUUUCUUCAAUAAUAUUUGUUAAAUAUUGUACCGAUUUUCCCGUUUUUUUUAUGUUUUCCCAUGUUUUUUCCCGGGUUUUCAUAUUUGCUGUAAAAACUCUUGGGAAAAUCGAAAAAUUACCUUCCUAAAUUACCACCCUAAGAGAAUUUCCUUUUAGAAAAAAGUCUACAUCGUAUACAUAUCGAAGUAAGCUUUCUGGUAGAAAAAGUGCAU